rnacentral:rRNA from 1 species
UACGGAGGGUGCAAGCGUUAUCCGGAUUCACUGGGUUUAAAGGGUGCGUAGGCGGGUUUGUAAGUCAGUGGUGAAAUCCCGAAGCUUAACUUCGGAACUGCCGUUGAUACUACAGGUCUUGAAUACUCGGGAGGUGAGCGGAAUAUGUCAUGUAGCGGUGAAAUGCUUAGAUAUGACAUAGAACACCGAUUGCGAAGGCAGCUCACUACAGAGUCAUUGACGCUGAGGCACGAAAGCGUGGGGAUCAAACAGGAUUAGAAACCCCCGUAGUCC